AGCGAGGCCAGUUGAUGAGCCCUGAAGCAUCUCCCAAAGCUUUCCUGAUUGCUGCAAGAGGACCAAAGCUGGAGGCUCGGCAGGACGAAGGUCAUCCCCGAGCCCACCAGCUCGUCAUGAAUAUAGGCUUUUGCACGCGAAGACCGCCUUUAUCAGGGAGGGCUGCAGUCAUGUCCCCUUUCAAAACAGUCGUUGUGGCAAUCCUUGGUGCCAAUGUGUUUUCUUAGGGAAGAGGACCAAGGCUACUAUAAAAGAGAGACCCAGUCU
rnacentral:lncRNA from 1 species